rnacentral:tRNA from 1 species
GGGACUGUGGCUUAGUGGUAGAGUGCUUAUCUAACAUAUAUGAAGCCCUGGGUUUGAGACCUCAGUACCA